GAGAGGAGGUCUCUCGUGUCCGGAUAACAGGAUCUGGUCACAAACCAGCCCGUCCUGCGGCGGUCAAGAGCCGUUGUGGGGAGCGUCGGGUGUAAAAGGCGCGGCCCGACCGCGUCAGGU
rfam:Marine metagenome 1096626372877, whole genome shotgun sequence.